AUCUAAAUAGCUUAAUAAGAGCAUAGCAUUGAAGAUGCUAAGGUAAUAUAAUUAUUUUUAGGUA
rnacentral:tRNA from 1 species